CGGGGCAGCAGUCGACGAUUCCUACGGGAGGCAGCAGUGGGGAAUCUUGCGCAAUGGGGGAAACCCUGACGCAGCAACGCCGCGUGAAGGAAGAAGGCUCUAGGGUUGUAAACUUCUUUGAUCAGGGAAGAAAAAAAUGACGGUACCUGAAGAACAAGCCACGGCUAACUACGUGCCAGCAGCCGCGGUAAUACGUAGGUGGCAAGCGUUAUCCGGAAUGACUGGGUGUAAAGAGCAUGUAGGCGGGAAUGCAAGUCAGAUGUGAAAUCUUAAGGCUCAACCUUAUUGAGCAUCUGAAACUGUGUUUCUUGAGUACUGGAGAGGAAAGUGGAAUUCCUAGUGUAGCGGUGAAAUGCGUAGAUAUUAGGAGGAACACCAGUGGCGAAGGCGGCUUUCUGGACAGUAACUGACGCUGAGAUGCGAAAGUGUGGGUAGCAAACAGGAUUAGAUACCCUGGUAGUCCACACCGUAAACGAUGGAUACUAGGUGUAGGAGGUAUCGACCCCUUCUGUGCCGGAGUUAACACAUUAAGUAUCCCACCUGGGAAGUACGGUCGCAAGACUGAAACUCAAAUGAAUUGACGG
rnacentral:rRNA from 1 species